rnacentral:rRNA from 1 species
CAAGGCGACGAUCCCUAGCUGGUCUGAGAGGAUGACCAGCCACACUGGAACUGAGACACGGUCCAGACUCCUACGGGAGGCAGCAGUGGGGAAUAUUGCACAAUGGGCGCAAGCCUGAUGCAGCCAUGCCGCGUGUAUGAAGAAGGCCUUCGGGUUGUAAAGUACUUUCAGCGGGGAGGAAGGUGUUGUGGUUAAUAACCGCAGCAAUUGACGUUACCCGCAGAAGAAGCACCGGCUAACUCCGUGCCAGCAGCCGCGGUAAUACGGAGGGUGCAAGCGUUAAUCGGAAUUACUGGGCGUAAAGCGCACGCAGGCGGUCUGUCAAGUCGGAUGUGAAAUCCCCGGGCUCAACCUGGGAACUGCAUUCGAAACUGGCAGGCUUGAGUCU